rnacentral:lncRNA from 1 species
GUUCCCAAAGUCAAGUUAAACAUAGAUAAACUAAUUACCAAGGCAUUGAGCACAAACACAAGCAUGGUUCACUCAAUUAUAAGCAUAGGAAGCCUAUUUAAGCAAGUUAAAACACAUUUUUGCAUAGAAUGACAUGGCUCCAGGUAUAUGAUGAUCAUGAUAUGCUUUGAGUAGAUGAUGAUGCUUAUGCUAUGCACAUGAUCAAUGCAACCAUAACACUGGGGUGUUACACAAGCUAUAUUAUCAGAGCAGAACGAAUGGGUUGAUAUGAUUAAUAUAUGAAGAUGAUAGGUUGUUUCCAUGAGAAUGAGAUGGUGCACCGUCGCAUGUGUUAAAGCUAAAGAUUAGCAGUCUGGUCAUAUUGCUUGAGAACAUUGAUCUUACCAAUAGACUUUAUAAUGGUUGGUAGGCUUAUUAUACGGGGUUCAAAAAAUACCAUAGAUGCAGAAAUUGUGUUAGAACAUGCUUGAAAUAGAAUUUUCUACCUCGUAUAGCCUUAUGCCCGUCGAACGAUGAGAUGGUCCCGUUCUAAUUUAAAAGAAAAUAGUUUCGAUGAAUUGAUGUUAAAUUUGCGUGCCAAAAAAAUAAAAAAAACAGUACAUAUUGAUGAAUACAUUUGAC